rnacentral:misc_RNA from 1 species
AAAGUCGUAACAAGGUCUCCGUUGGUGAACCAGCGGAGGGAUCAUUAUAGAGUUUACACAACUCCAAACCCAUGUGAACAUACCUAUUGUUGCCUCGGCAGGUCCGCAGACCACCGGGAAAGGCCCCUGUAUCAGGGCGCCUACCCGGGAGCUGCGGGUGAGCCCGCCGGUGGCCCGCAAAACUCUGUUAUCAACUGAAAUUCUGAAUCAUAACUAAAUAAGUUAAAACUUUCAACAACGGAUCUCUUGGUUCUG